AGCGGGUGUAGUUUAGUGGUAAAAGUGUGAUUCCGACUAUAACCCCUAGCCUUCCAAGCUAACGACGCGGGUUCGAUUCCCGCUACCCGCUUC
rnacentral:tRNA from 1 species